AGAACGAACGCUGGCGGCGUGCCUAACACAUGCAAGUCGAACGGAAUGAGGGGCUUGCUCCUCAUUUAGUGGCGCACGGGUGAGUAACGCGUAGAUAAUCUGCCUGAUGAUCCGGGAUAACAUUUCGAAAGAGGUGCUAAUACCGGAUAAGCCCACGACGGCCUUGGUCGAUGCGGGAAAAGGGGGGGACCUUCGGGCCUUCUGUCAUCAGAUGAGUCUGCGUACCAUUAGCUAGUUGGUAGGGUAAUGGCCUACCAAGGCUACGAUGGUUAGCUGGUCUGAGAGGAUGAUCAGCCACACUGGAACUGAGACACGGUCCAGACUCUACGGGAGGCAGCAGUGGGAAUUUGCGCAAUGGGCGAAAGCCUGACGCAGCAACGCCGCGUGAGUGAUGAAGGCUUUCGGUCGUAAAGCUCUGUACGAGGGAAAGAAAGUGGUAAUUGCGGCUAAAUACCCGACGAAUACUUAGACGGUAACCCCUAAAAGGAAGACGACCGGACUAACUCCG
rnacentral:rRNA from 1 species